rnacentral:tRNA from 4 species
AAGAAGGUGGCGAAAUUUGGAAAACGCGGUCUGUUUAGGCCAGGCUUAUCUUUAAUGGUUUUACGGGUUCAAGUCCCGUCCUUCUUA